rnacentral:rRNA from 1 species
GAUGAACGCUGGCGGCGUGCUUAACACAUGCAAGUCGAACGGAACUACUCCAAUGAGAGUCUUCGGAAAGGAUUUGGUUUCGUUUAGUGGCGGACGGGUGAGUAACUCGUGGGUAACCUGCCCUAUACAGGGGGAUAACAGUUGGAAACGACUGUUAAUACCGCAUAAGCGCACAGGAGCGCAUGCUCCGGUGUGAAAAACUCCGGUGGUAUAGGAUGGACCCGCGUCUGAUUAGCUGGUUGGCGGGGUAACGGCCCACCAAGGCGAGGAUCAGUAGCCGGUCUGAGAGGAGGGACGGCCACAUGGAGAAGGACACACGGCCCAGAGUCCGAAGGGAGGCAGAAGGGGGGAAUCGUCCGCAAAGGAGGAAAGUCUGAAGGAGCAAAGCCGAGAGAGGGAUGACGGCCUUCGGGUUGGAAAGCUCCAUUAAUCGGGACGAAAGGCCUUCUUGCGAAUAGUUAGAAGUAUUGACGGUACCGGAAUAGAAAGCCACGGCUAACUACGUG